rnacentral:lncRNA from 1 species
UGUUGCUUGAGUCGUUUUAGGCAGCCCCGGUGCAUAUAUGGCUGAAUACCCAGGUGGCCAGGUCAAACAUUCUUCAACUGCGUAGAGUUCUUUCAUUUCUGUAUUAUACUUUAAAUUUUCCGGUUUACAGCCAAUUUCAGUAAAUAAUUAUGAUUACAUGGGCCCAAUGAUAACCAAUAAUCAUAAAAAAUAAUCAUAAAAUUGCUAACGAAAGAGACGACAAAGAGAAACGGCUAUAGAGCCGGCGAAUUUUCAGAUUUGUUCAGGUAAAGGAAAUUUCAUACAGGGAAGACCCAAACCCAGAUAAACCCAGAAAACUCUCGAAUUUUAGGUAAUAAUUUUUUAUUUUUUUUUUCAAUUCAUAUUUUUUGGUUUUUACUCAUUUAUCUUCCUUUUUUUUUUCUUUUUUCUUUUUUUCCAAGUUCUGUAAAUGGAUGAAUUUUGCCUAUUAGUAUGUUUAUGAAUAUAUGUGAUCUGAAUGGUAUCUUUAAUAUCGUUUUCGAUUUGUUUUUGGCUUGAAAGAGUCUCCUCUCUAUUAUUAUUACUACUACUACUACUGACUUAUGAUUUGUUUUGUGUGGGUUUCUUUUGUUUACUAGGAUCUGUUUUUCUGGAAGUAAUUUAAUAUGAAAGGUCGAAAAUGUAAAAAGUUUCUAUUUUUCUGAGGAUUUGGAUGGAAUUAGUUUAUAACUUUGUGGAUCUAGUUGAAUAGAUAGCUGCUGAAAGAUUGGAGAUAUUACGUAACGUAUAUGAUCGAGUGGGUCCAAGACUGCCUUAUUGUCUAGUCACAAGUGUGUGCGUGGGUGUUUUGCUUCUUUCACCCCACCUAUCAGUAUGUUGUCAAUUUUACUUAGGCAUCAUAGGUUGUAAUGUUAAAUUAUGGGAAUGAUGAGUUAGGUUUUGUGGUAUUUAUCGCGUAAACCAAAAGAAUCUCAUGCUUAAGAGUAAUAUUUAAAAUAGCAUAAGUUAGAAAAUUGAGAGUUACACCAACAUUAUCCCAUUGUGGUUUCAAGAAUUAGACCUUGCAGUAGAUGUAACGAGAAACAGAAUGUACUGGCGUAACAGAAUUGAUGUACCCAACCUCAAAUUAAUCUGUGAUAAGGUUUAGGUUGUUUAUUAUUGUUAAUGUGCUAAUGUCCGUUAUAUGUUCACUAGUGAAAU